rnacentral:rRNA from 1 species
AUUGAACGCUGGCGGCAGGCCUAACACAUGCAAGUCGAACGAGUGGCGGACGGGUGAGUCAUAUCUGGGAAACUGCCUGAUGGAGGGGGAUAACUACUGGAAACGGUAGCUAAUACCGCAUACCAUCAGAUGUGCCCAGAUUGGAUUAGCUAGUGGGUUGGGUAACGGCUCACCAAGGCCACGAUCCCUAGCUGGUCUGAGAGGAUGAAAAGCCACACUGGAACUGAGACACGGUCCAGACUCCUACGGGAGGCAGCAGUGGGGAAUAUUGCACAAUGGGCGAAAGCCUGAUGCAGCCAUGCCGCGUGUAUGAAGAAGGCCUUCGGGUUGUAAAGUACUUUCAGCGGGGAGGCGGUACCCGCAGAAGAAGCACCGGCUAACUACGUGCCAGCAGCCGCGGUAAUUC